CCCUGUGUUUUAGGUGGCACCUGCACCUGCGGGGACAACUGCAAAUGCAAAAACUGCAAAUGCACAUCAUGCAAAAAAGGCUGCUGCUCCUGCUGCCCGGCGGGAUGCGCCAAGUGCGCGCAAGGCUGCGUCUGCAAGGGACCCCCCUCCGCCAAGUGCAGCUGCUGCAAGUAGGGACCCCCGGCUGCACAUCUGGGGGUGCCGCAUAUCUGGGGGGGGCUGAAGAAGAAUAACCUUAUUGUGUAUGUUGGGCUGGUUUUUUUUUUCUUUUUUUUUAUAUAUGUUCAGAUAUCUUUAGUGUUUGUCACUUGUGACGUGUAAUAAGCUACCUAAAUAAAGUGAUGUGUAUAUAAAGGUC